rnacentral:misc_RNA from 1 species
UUUCCGUAGGUGAACCUGCGGAGGAUAUUAAAAAAUAAUCCAGUUUGUGAUUUAAUAAUCAUCCUACCUUUGUGAAUUUGUUUUGUAAAGAAAAUUUAUGUUGUCUAUCCCUGUGGUUUUGGAAAGUUGAAAACUUUUCGAAUCUCAGGACUAGGCUUCAUAACCUUUUUUAAAUUAAACUUUUUGUAUUAUUGUCUAAAAUUAUUUUUAAUAAUUUAAAAACAACUUUUGACAAUGGAUCUCUUGUUCUCGCAACGAUGAAGAACGCAGCAAAAUGCGAUAAGUAUGUGAAUUGCAGAAUACGUGAAUCAUCAAAUCUUCGAACGCAUAUUGCACUUUCUAGUUUAUAGAAAGUAUGUCUGUUGAGUAUCAGUAAAAUAUUCUAUAAAAACAUGUUUUUAUGGUUAUGAGUGUUUACAACGAUAAACAAGUUGUUUCACUUUAAAUUGAUUUUAAAAGCCAUUUGUUUUAUCUAAUAAAUGGAUAAAAUUUUCCGUAAAGAAGUAAACUUUCAGUUUUAAAAGAUAAACUUUUAAUUGAGCCUAAUUAAAAGGAAAUUAACUAAAUAACUUGAUCUCAAAUCAGAUAAGAGUACCCGCUGAACUUAAGCAUAUCAAUAAGCGGAGGAAAAGAAACUAACAGGAUCCUUAGUAACGGCGAGUGAAGCGGGAAGAGCUCAAAUUUGAAAUCUUCAAGUUCUACCUUGACGAUUGUAGUUAUAGAAGUGUUUCUGUUAGUGUGGAAAAGUUCUUUGAAUAGACAUCAUAGAGGUGAGAUCCGUAUUUGUCAUUCUCCAGCGUGUGAUACACUUUCAACGAGUCGGAUUGUUUGGGAAUGCAGUCCAAAAGGGUGGUAAAUUUCAUCUAAAGCUAAUAUGGCGAGAGACCGAUAGCGAACAAGUACCGUGAGGGAAGAUGAAAAGAACUUUGAAAAGAGAGUUAAACAGUACGUGAAAUUGUCAAAAGGGAGCGUUGACACCAGUGUUGUUUUUCCGAAAAUCAAUUACGAAUGUUUUUUUGAGAGUUAUGACUUCAUCGCUUGCUCUUCUUUACGAACUUUCUUAAUGCACUUUCGUUAACAAGUCAACAUCAAUUCUUUGUUGUAAAGGGUAUGAGGAAGGUGGCUUUCUUUCGGAGAAGUGUUAUAGCCUUGUACCUCUGCAUCGGAGGAUUGAGGUCUGCAGCGUAGAUCCUUCGGGUUAGAUACGUUGUGCUAAGUUAUGCUUUUCAUAGACAACUUGUUGACUAUGUUAGUCUUGUAGCUUACUCGCUACGCUAUU